AAGCAUCAGGGUCCCACUGUGCUAAGUUGUUGUGCAGACAAGUGACAAAAAAGACAGCCCGUGUCCCAGAGAGCUCUCAAAAUACAUGUCAGGCAGGAUGCGACAGGUGGACGAAAGAGCUUUCUUUCCAGCUGCUGCUCCCUUCAGGGGUACUGCAGACGGAGCCCCUUCCCAUUGCCGCUUUGAAACGGCAGUUUCAGCUUGUGCUUAUGCCUCACUGGAGCCCGAAUGCAGAGGAAGCGUGGAGGCUCUGCAGGAAAAGGGGGCAUGAGAAAGAGCUGUGGAGAUAACAAACAGCCCGAGUGAGAGUCUUCUGCACGAAUAUGGUUUGCAUGACCUUUCCAAUGUCAAUGGAUUCCCCUGCAAUGCUGUGGCUGCUACUGCUGGCUCCGGGGUCAGAUUGCUAUCUGCUUCAGCAUCAUCUCCUGUACCGCAAUAGGAAAUGAACCAUUUAAGAAUGACAGCCAUCUAAGAAGGAUACUUCGGGGGAUGCAUCAGUUCAAUAGGGGAGGUGAAAAAAAAGCAAGAAAUGGACUUCUAGUCUGGUAGUUGCCUAACUCUUUGGGUAAGUAGAAUUAUAUCGAAGAUGGAUUCAGAGGGACAUUGAAUGGGAUUCUCGAGAAAUGUUUGGUUGAGCAACUCUUGGAAAUUCUGUUCUGGGAUCAAAAUAGAAAAUCAUUUUCUGAUCUGCAGUGCAGAUGGAGCCUCUCGUUUCUAAGUCUCCUGUCCUCAUAGUCUCUAAAACCUGUGUCUGUAUAGGAGACAUUUGUUAGUAAUUAUACAAAAGCAUUUAUUUCAUUUUAGUUAUUCGAUCAUUUUAAAGCAUUUAUCUAAAACUGAACAUGCCCUUACAAAAUUGAAAACACACAAUGCAAAUUAAAUCUGGCUUGUCAACCUUAGUUAUAAAGUUGAAUUCUCUUGGAUGUUAUGGCCAAAAGUUUCAAGCUGAGGGACCCAGUGCAGCAGAGCAGAUGUUUAACUUUAUCUGUGUGCUUAAGUCCCACUAACUUCAAGUUAAACACAUGUUUAAGUCUGAGAUGUUCAAAGGAGUAAACGGGAAUUGGCUGCCUGAUUCCCAUUAAUUUACAAUGGGAUUUGGGCACCUAAUUACCUUAGGCUGGGAUUUUCAAAAGUGCCUAAGGGCUUUGUUGAAUCGGAACCCUGAAUGCCAGAUCCUCAAAGUAUUUAGGUACUUAGGUGCCCAGCCCCCACUGAAAUCAAUGAGAGUUAGGUGCCUAAAUACCUUUGAGGGUCUGGGUCUUAGUACAUAAUGUUAAGCUGUUAAGUCCACGUGUCGGCUUUAAAUAAAAGAGGUGUGAUUUUUUUCCAGGAAUUCCAUUGGGAGCUGCUGGAGCUCAGCACAUUGAAAAUCCAACCUCCUUUAUUUAGAUGCCUAAAGAUGGGUUUAGGAGCCUAACUUUAGGCAUUUAUGGUCUGUAGCUUUUAUUUGUUAUUUCAUCUUUUUUUAAAUUGUAUUUAUCAAAUGCUUUUUUGGGCAUUUAAAAAAAAGGAUAAAAUUAUGAAAAACAAAUUUUAGGUUUUUUUAUUAUUAUUAUUUAUUUACUAAUUGUGAUGAGUUAGUGGAUUGCAGUAGUGCUCAGAAGUUCCAGUCAAGGAUCAGGGCCCCAUUGAGAAGGGCAUUGGACACACAUGCACGCGUGCACCCUUCCCCCCCCACAGAGUCAUGUCUCUACCCCACAUAGUAAUGACUAUUUUAACUAUUAAAACAUGGCCAGUGAGGUUUAUGCAGAGUGUAAUGAUUACGGUUUCCAGUUGUAGGUUAAAGUCCAUAAAACUCAACCCAAGCAAACCUUGUAGAACAGGCCUUUGUAGCAUAUACACUGGAAAGACCCCACAAAAUGUCCCUGUUUUUCAGUGUUGGGAAUGGUUAGCAGAGGUGGCUGAGAUACCCUAAUGAUUUCCCGCACCCUCUGGGAGCUCAUGCCCAGGAUCACAGAGCUCUGGAGGGUGUUGUCGUCUUUUGGUAAAACUCAUGGAAAACAGUCAGUUAUAUCGUGGCCCAAAGGCCCUAAUUCAGAGAAGCAUCCCUCUUCAGGGAGCAUUCAUUGGGGACAAAGUGUUUUCCUGAUCUGGGGCCUCCCAGCCUGGGUAGACAGAUUUAGGUUAGUGGGGCUCAGGCUAGCAUACUAAAAAUAACUGUAUAAACAGCGCUUUGAAGUUGUGGCUCAAGCUCUGAAGCCUGGAGUGGGGUGGGGUGGGGUGGGCUUCACAGCCCAAGUUUCAACCUGAGCUGCAUCUUCAAAGUACUGUCUACAUAGCUAUUUUUAGAACCCUGGUAUGAAACCCCCCUAGCUCGAAGCUGUUCGCCCAGGCUGGGAGGCUCGCUGUUGGAGAUGGUACAAACAUACCCAAAGAAUGCCCCAGUGGUGUACAGCAUUGGAUCAAUGCAGGAGCAUUCUAUGGAAGUCCCAACCCCUGGCAAAGAAAGCCAAAUAUGCCAUUUUUAAAAAAAAACAAAAUUUGUAUAAUACUCUGCAAAUUCUCUCAUGCCUCAUCCGGAGAAAAGCUCACUUGGUUUGUUAUUGAAUCAGGCAGCUGAAAAUUAGCAAUUGAAUAUUUGCUCUCUCUCUCAUUAGUAAUGGCUAAUUAUGGGCCUUAGUCACAUAACUGACCCACCGCAGUCAUUGGGGCUGCUUAUGUGAGUACAGACUACUCAUGUGAGUAGAGGAUGCUGAAUGGAGCUCUGGGUUAGCAAGUAAUAAUCUGAAUGUUUGAGGCUACCGUAGCCUUACCUUGAGAUCUUUGGAUGCAAAGCAGUAUAUAAGAGCUAGAUAUUAUUUUUCGUUACUGAAAAACUUUGGGCCCAACUUGCACCAUUUGGACCAAGCACUGAGAGAUGCUGAAUCCCGAUAGUGCAAUUUUAUUCCCACUGACUACAAUAGAAAUUGUCGCUGCUCUGCACCUUUCAGGACCCAUAGAGAAACAUACUCUUUGGAAUGACACUGAUGUUCUUUGCAAUCAGAAGUACCGCUGAAAUAAGAAGAGUCUGUCAUGCAGCAGGACCACAGCUUGCAGUCAACCGAGCUUUGCACUGAAAAUGUGUCAUCUAGUCAAACGUUAAAAUUGGAUAAGUCGUUUUCUCAUUGGUGUCAAGUCCUUUUUAGGAACCUCUCUUUAUAUACUAUAUAGAGAAUCUCUUAUAGAAACCUGCUCCCGUGUCAGCUGUCCUGGGGAGAAUGUGAGAUAGUGGCUGUCUAAUGGAGGUAGACACUGGGGGACAGGGGAAUUACAUUAUUAUUUACCGUUCUCUAUUAUCUGUGACUAUGAUGAGUUUUUAUUAAGCACCUAUCACUGCAGGCCUGUCUGAUAAAGUAGCACUUUGUUUUUCCCUCAAAACAUUUUUAUUAUGGUGAUACAUAUAAAAUAAAUUGGGGUAAGGCAAAGCAUAUAGGAAAUAACUGCAUGUACAAACAACAGGAGGGGCCAUUACAAUGCAACACAGGCACGAUGCAUAUCUGGAUUACUAUCAUUCUUACAGCUAGAUUCCCCUCCCAGGUCUUGCUCCAACUCCCACUGAAGUCAAUGGAAAACCUCCCCUAUAAGUCAAAGGGAGUUGUAUUUUCCCCUUGGAUAUCCCAUGGCAACCUGGUGAGUUUCAAUGAGUUUGUCACAGAAUGGAGAAUGCGUUAGAUAGGCCUAGGAACAAUACUUCAUAAAAGAUGGACCAUGAAUUAGAAAUAAGAGGAAGGCCCUUUAGUUGUUUAUUUUCCUACAACUAAUUUUUGCAGCUUUGGAAAAGUCCUACCAGGCUGAUGCCCCUGUAGAAACCUAAUAGGCCAGAUCCUUGGUUGGUGGAAAUUGGCAUUAAAGUCAAUGGAGUUGGCUGGGGUCUGGCCUAACGACAAUAAUGUCUCUUCCUAACCCUACUUCUUCCCUCAUUUCCAGCACACGUCCGUUCCAUUGCUAUUUUUUUUUAUCCCCUUGCCACUCUGUUUAUGUUAGUGCAGCAUCAGUUUCUUUUCUUUGUUGCAUCACUCUGCUUAGACUAUUGCAUUUUUUCUCCAUCAGUUCUGCCCCCUUAUUGCAGCUGGCUGUGAAGCAACACCCACUCAAGUCCACAUGAGGUUCAGUGGAUGGUAAGAAAGACUUAUGGAAACUGCUAUUUGCCCAGGACAGACCGGUGCCAUAGUUAGCAUGAAUUGAUCCCCUUAUUGGUAGCUGAUUUAUGGGGGCAGGAGGUAGGGCGUCCCGUGAGGUAUUGUACGGUUUUAACCUUUGUGGCUCAGGGCAGCUCCAGGGGAAUGAAAGCCAAGAGGAGUGCAAUAGAGAGCCCGAGAUGCACAGGAGGGAGCUUUGUCUAGUGGUCAGAGCAUAGGACUGGGAGUUAGGCAUUCUGGGUUCCAUUCCUGGCUCAGUUACUGAGCCCGUGUGUCGCUCUGGGCAAAUCGCUUGGCCUCCCUGUUCCUGAGUUCCCCUCCCCCAUUCUGUAAUAUAGACGUGCACAGUAUUAUUAUUGUUUUAUCGGCACAUGGGGGACCAGCCAUGUUCCUCUGUGCAUUCAUCUGGUCCCAAAGACACUGGUGCCUCUUUGCUAUCAGGUCCCUGGAUAUCCCCGCCCUACUCCUUUUCUCUCUCCUUAGAAACCCUCAGUAACUCAUUCAGCAGUUGUCGUGCCUGUGAAGACUCUCUGCUGGGAGGAUGGCUAAUUCCAGGUAAGCUCUGCAUAAAACAGCUCUUCCCUGUGGUGCUCCCAACCGCAGUAUGGAGCAGUGACCAUUAAUGCUGCUUAUUAGAGGGAGAAACUUGCUAUGAAAGGGAGUUGAUGAUCGAUACCCCAUGUAGUUGGUGAUUGAUCUUCUCCCUUGUAACCUGAUCUGUAGAAUUAGAAAUGGGCUCCAGAUUUUGAAGGCAUCAGAAUUCAAGGGUGUUCAGUUCCAAGGGGUUUGGAGUCCUCUCUGCUUAUUUCUAAAAUCUCCAUUUUAGCUGUCCCUGGGGCAACUAUGUAUUCUUGCUGGACACCUAGGUCUGAUAGUCAGUUAGGCCAAGAUUUUCAAAAGUGACUAGUGGUUUUAGGGUGUCUCCAUUUUUAGGAGCCCAAUUUCUAUCCUAUUCUAUAUAGACUCUUAUGCCAUGCUCAUCACUGUCUUAAGUGCCUUUCAACUUGAGAUUUCUUAAAGGAGCCUGAUUUUUUUCAGAAAGUGCAGAGCACCCAAAAUCAGAUUUAGUUUGUCUCGAAUUGGACACCAAAAGCUUGGCAACCUCAAACCACUGGUCACUGUUGAAAAUCUUUGCCAAAGUCUUUGGGAAAUCACCUUAAAAACGACGUCCUAUCUGAAACCAUGUCAGCCCAUCAGCACUUGAACGAUCUAACAUAACCUGAUUGUUUUCUCUCCCUUAGCAAAUGUGAUUAUUGGUGGACAAUCAUUCUCAGCUCAGGUGUGACCUCUAUCCUCUAUGUUCUUCUCCUAGUAAUGCUUUACAUCAAGCUCAGCAGGAAAAUAGACAAUCAUUCCUGUAGCAAUCAGGCGAGCAGCAGCCCUUCUACAAAACCAGAACAACCCAACGCUCCCCAGGCAGCAAAGGAGAUUUUGAAAAGGCCAUGCAUCCGGGGUGACAGUGGCUCUUCCUCAGACAGCUCUGAGAGCUCAGACAGCAGCCCUUCCACUAGGCAGUGUCCUCGGUCAGAAGAAGGGGUCGACUACACAUCCCUGGUCUUCCAAGCUACCGGUCGCAGCGCAAGCACUGCAGAGGACUAUGAGAACAUGAAGAUGGGAGCAGACUAUGUCAAUGUGGAUCCCAGAAAAAGGAAGGUGGAUUUCUGGACAUGCUCGAGCCCUGUAUCUUCCAAACCAGUGGAAUAUACUGAAGUGAAAUUGUGAUUUCUUGGGAUGCCAUUAACUAAGUUUUCCUUAGGAACAUCAGAACUGCCACAGCAGGUCAAAUCAGUGAUCCAUCCUUAGUCAGUAUCCUGUAUCCUUCUCUGCACAUUUCACAUAGGUCACUGUCAACCUGUUCAUAUAGGUAUGUUCCUCCUAAUCCUCGUCAAUUAGUGGCUGUCAUGUCCUGAAGCAUGAAGCUUUAUAUUUCUUACAACAUUUUAUUCUGCCUAAUGUAACUGUGCAUGUUCUUGUUACCCGUACAAAGGUCUCUGCCCUUCUGAAUCCCACAAAGCUCUUGGCUGUGUUGAUACAAUGUAGCACUGGUUAUUCACAGCUUGUGUAAAAAGAGCAUUUCCGAUUCGCAGUGAUAAUUGUGCCCUUCCAUUUCAUUGGCUUCCCCUUGUUCUCACAUUAAAGGAGAGAGUAAUUAAGAACACCCAAUAAAUAUAAUACAGGGCCAAAUCCUCAGCUAGUGUAAAACCUAAUUCAACAUCAAUGGAGCUACACCAACUGGGCUGGCCCUUUGAUUUGACUUGUUUUUUAUUUGCUUGAUAUCAAUUAAUUUAAAAAAAAAAACUUUUUAAAUGCU